rnacentral:rRNA from 1 species
UACCGCGUGAGUGAUGAAGGUCUCGGAUCGUAAAACUCUGUUGUUAGGGAAGAACAAGUGCAUAGUAACUGAUGGCACCUUGACGGUACCUAACCAGAAAGCCACGGCUAACUACGUGCCAGCAGCCGCGGUAAUACGUAGGUGGCAAGCGUUGUCCGGAAUUAUUGGGCGUAAAGCGCUCGCAGGCGGUUCUUUAAGUCUGAUGUGAAAUCUUACGGCUCAACCGUAAACGUGCAUUGGAAACUGGGGAACUUGAGUGCAGAAGAGGAGAGUGGAAUUCCACGUGUAGCGGUGAAAUGCGUAGAGAUGUGGAGGAACACCAGUGGCGAAGGCGACUCUCUGGUCUGUAACUGACGCUGAGGAGCGAAAGCGUGGGGAGCGAACAGGACUAGAUACCCUGGUAGUCCACGCCGUAAACGAUGAGUGCUAGGUGU